UUAAAUCUUUCCUUAUUAAAAACUCCUAAUAUUUUGGACUAUUAAUCCUACUCGCACAAUGACACUGUCCAAAAGACACAGUUUGUUUCGACAUCCAAUUCUAAUUCUUCUCUUGUAUACGAGAGGUCUGUUAUGGAUUCAGCUUGGAGAAGGUAAGCAUAAUCCGUAUAUCAUUUAAAAUGAGUUGCAUUCUUCGAUUUGUAUAGAUUUAUCGAUGUUGAUUGGUUUUUAUUUUCUAUAUGACUUUUUGGAUAUUCUCUGUGCUAUUUAGGAUAAUGAUUUACUUUAAAAUCAGUUGCAUUAGUUGUUGAGGACUAGGGCUGUUCAAAACCGAACCGUAACCGAAAACCGAACCGCAAAAUUGGUUUAAUGGCUUAUUGGUAUCGGGUUAUCGGAUUAAUGGAUGGUGAAUGGAUUGAAAAUUUAUAAUUAAUGGCUUAUCGAUUUGGGAACGGAUUAUUCAAUUUUCUUAACGGUUAAGCCGUUAACCCGUUAAGAAUUUUUAUAUUUAUAUUUUUACCAGAAUAUGUAUAUUAAAUAUCCCUUCCACUAUUUGACAAAGUAGCAGUUAUUAUUCACAUCAAAAGGUUCACUAAGACACUACCUGUUACUGUUUUAUCACGGAUACUAACUUAGUGGUAUUAAUAUUGAAAAUUCACUUUCAAAUUA